GGCUCUCGAGAUUCGGAGAACGAUGCCUCUUCGAUUUUUGAGAAAGCAAUCAUGCUGGGGGUCUGGCUUUCGAGAUUCGGAGAGCGGUGUCUCUUCGAUUUUUGAGAAAGUAAUCAUGUUGGGAGUCUGGCUCUCGAGAUUCGGAGGGCGGUGCCUCUUCGAUUUUGGAGCAAGCAAUCUUGUUGGGAGUGUUUUCUCGAAUGUGAGUAAAGGUUGGGCAUGUUUGCUAGUCUACCUUGCCACGAAGCACAGAGGUUGACACACAGGGACUUUCCAAUUAUCCAGCAGUGGUACUGUUCCUUUACCCUCUCUUCAAUUUUUGAGAAAGUAAUCAUGUUGGGAGUUUGGCUCUCGAGAUUCGGAGGGCGGUGCCCCUUCGAUUUUGGAGCAAGCAAUCUUGUUGGGAGUGUUUUCUCGAAUGUUAGUAAAGGUUGGGCAUAUUUGCUAGUCUACCUUGCCACGAAGCACAGAGGUUGACACACAGGGACUUUCCAAUUAUCCAGCAGUGGUACUGUUCCAAUACCCUCUCUUCGAUUUUGAGAAAGUAAUCAUGUUGGGAGUCUGGCUCUCGAGAUUCGGAGGGCGGUGCCUCUUUGAUUUUGGAGCAAGCAAUCUUGUUGGGAGUGUUUUCUCGAAUGUGAGUAAAGGUUGGGCAUGUUUGCUAGUCUACCUUGCCACGAAGCACAGAGGUUGACACACAGGGACUUUCUAAUUAUCUAGCAGUGGUACUGUUCCUUUACCCUCUCUUCGAUUUUUGAGAAAGUAAUCAUGUUGGGAGUCUGGCUCUCGAGAUUCGAAGGGCGGUGCCUCUUCGAUUUUGGAGCAAGCAAUCUUGUUGGGAGUGUUUUCUCGAAUGUGAGUAAAGGCUGGGCAUGUUUGCUAGUCUACCUUGCCACGAAGCAUAGAGGUUGACACAUUACCCUUGUGGGUAAUAAUAUGGUAGCUAGACCUUCAAAAUUUA
rnacentral:lncRNA from 1 species